CCACACCUACUCCAACAAGGCCACACCUACUCCAACAAGGCCACACCUCUCAGUAGUGCCAAUCCCAGGGAGCUCAUGGGGGCCAUUUCAUUCAAACUACCGAAGAGGCUUACCUGGAUUAUGUAACAAGACUUAAUAAAUGAAAGUAGAAGAGCAAACAAACAAAGAGAACUAGCCUAGGGUCCAGAGGGGGCAAUAACUACAUGGCUGGAGUACGGACCGCUCCAAUCAGAGCACAGAUAUUGCAGUCACAGAAACACAGUGACUGGGUUCACAGAGGUGGACACGUGGGGCCAGAGACUACGUGAGUUCCGGUGCUUCCCAGAUGAGAUGGCUCUGGCUCCCAGUUUUGUCUUAUGAACCGAUAAGAAGCACCUUUUUGUGGAUCUGGUGAUCAUUUGGGAGAGAUUGGGACCGUCGAAUCUGACUGAAUGCACACACUACUGUGCUCCCUCUGUGCUGGGAUGGGUGACCUGUUUCCCUUUGUGACCAAACAGUCCCUGCUCUGGCCUGGUAUGGAUGGUGAGGCCUGGGCUAUGGCCAGGGAUACUUCAGGAAGGAUUCUCAAUCAAAGCAGGACAAACUGAAUCAGAAACCUGGGUUUUACAGAUGGGAAAACUGAGACUCAAGAGAGGGCAGGAGUCCAAGGUUCAUAUAGCAUGCCAUGGCAGAAGUCCAGGGAGAAUCUACUCUUCUGUGUAGGCUCCUUCCUAAACCCCAUAGGUCACUGGGCUCACAAGAGGAAGAACUGGGUCUUGAACCCCAGCCUCUGACUCUGAGGCUCCUGCUCUUUCUGUUGCUCUGUACUAUCUCCUUAUGUCUCUCCCCUGGCCCGUGUCCUGGAACACGGGCAGAACAGGAGACUGAUGGGGUAAAGAUGGUCCAUCAAAUAUGGUGGGAGGGGAAGGGAGAGGGCCCAGCUCUCCAGCAGGCACUCUUGGCUUCCCCACUUUCCAGGGAGCUGUUGGGAACCCGUUUCCUUUUCUGUAAAAUGAAGACAGUUAUUAUCUUGUACGGUGGUGAAAAGGCCCCCUGGAAUCACUAUGGAAAUGGACACAAGCCUGGAUAUGGCAGCUACUGGAUACGGUGUUCUUAGCAGUAACAGCAGCCGGGUUUAGUAAACCUUGUUGAAUAACAGGGGUGACCUGGCUCACCAGUUGCCUCCAGAGCUGAGAUUGGAAGCUAGUGAGCAGGAGGCAAGAGAAGAGACUAAUAAUUGAGCACCUGCCUUGAGUCAGGCAUUACACAGUGUCACAGCUGCUGGGGUCAACUCUGAGUGCUCACGGCAAGGUGCAGCGAGCUGUCUGACUUCAGAGGCGGGAAACCGAAGCAGAAGGGACAUAAGGUUCCACCUCUUGUGAGAGCAAAACACAGAUUUACAGCUUGGUCAGUUGGACCCGAGAGCCCCUGGGCAGCCUCCGUGUUGACACACGUGUCUCAUCUCUGCUCAGAGGCCCACUGGGUUAUCUUUGUGUUGGGCUAUGUUGGGUCCUCUGAGUGGGUCCUGGUCCCUGGUGAACACUAUCAGAAUCUUCCCGGCACCUCUUCCAGGCUCUGUUCCUCCAUAUUCCCGAGGACCACCAGGUAAGGUCCCACCUGUCUGUCUACUGGACUUCCCUCUUCGGGAGCACCUACUCUCAGUCCCAGACGGUGACCUCUCCUGAGGAGGAUGGGCUUUGGACGUGACCUCUCCUGAGGAGGAGUGGGCUUUGGACGUGACUUCUCCUGCGGAGGAUGGGCUUUGGGCCCUGUGGUGCCUUCCUUGCACGCUCUCUUUUCUUGGUUCUGUGUUUCCAGUUCACAGGAUGCCCCCUCCCUUCAGCCCUGGGGACCAAAAUCAGAGUGUUUCCAGUUAAAGACCCGGGAGCUUGGAGGUCAAGUUCUUAAAACCAGGGCCCUGAAGGGAAGAGGUAGCCUGGGGAGGGGGAGAGUGAGAGGUAGUGGAGGAGAGGAGAGGGUCAAGGGGCAGGAGCGCCACUACAUGUGUGUGUGUACCCAAGCACCCUGCAGUCCUGAACCCGGAUUCUGCCAGGUAGUGAAAGAACGCCAUCAGAAUUGACAUCCCAGGAUCAAUUUGACAAGAAGGAUGCUCCUAUCCACCCACAGCAGGGAGAGAGCUUCCGGAGUGAGUCAGCUGCCUGGCUAGUGAGCUGCCUGUGGCCCAAGCAGGGUACUCUGCACCCUGGCAGCCCUAGGUCCUGCUUUGGAGCCCCAGGAGAGGAACUGCCACUCAGGAAAGGAGAAAGGACACUUGUCUGCUCCUGAGGUCAUCAUCAGGGCUGGUGGCUGAUGCAAGAAUGUGGGGAGUGUUUUCCAGAGUUCUUGUUGAGGCCACGCUUGAGGCCUGUGGUGACCCUGGGAGGUGGACUCCUACCCCUGUUAUACAAAUGGAAGCUUGGGGGAAGGAAGAGAUCUCUCAGUACAAGGCAGGAGUGAUAAAUGGAGAUAGCUUUUAUGCUGUCAGCACCUAUGAUGGUGGGCCUCAUAGCUAAAGUGUAGGAGACACUUAACUGGGGCUCCCAGCAGACAUGACGUAAUUCUGGUCUUAGUCCUCACAGGCCCGCCAGGAGAGAACCCUGUUGUCAUCCCUCCCCUCUUCAGAGAGAGAAACAGGCAUGCUAGAUGCCUUCCUCAGCACCCAGAGCAGUCCCGGGAAGCUGAGGCUUGAAUCCAGCCUUCCAUGUCAGAGUUCCUACCUUUAACUGCUUCUCUCAAAGUGUGUGUGUGUGUGUGUGUGUGUGUGUGUGUGUGUGUGUGUGUGUGUGUGUGGUGGAGUGGGGGAGCUGGCGGGAGACCCAACUACACUCCAUGUGCCCUCUCACUGGUGGAUGGGGGUGCAUCAGGCCCUUCAGCUAACAGCACAGGGAGCUGGCCUAGCCCCAGAGGCAGGUGGACAGCCAUCAUCAGCCUGGUUCAGGGCACUUCAGGUUGGGGCACCCUAGACAUGGUAGGUGACCUGUGCUGACAUUUCUUAUCUCCAGGGACACAAGCCAACUGUGAGUCUGUUGAAACAGUAAGGCUGGCGGGUUGCUCAGCUGAGGCAAUCGGCUUAUUCAGAAAAGAGAGAGGAGAGGUUGAAAGGGCAGGGCAGGGACACUAUUGCUUUUGUGUGUGUGUGUGUGCGUGCUCAAGGGCACUGUAGGCCAGAAUCAGAAUCCUGCCGGAUAGUGAAAGAGUUUCAUCAGAAUCCGCAUCCUGGAAUCAGUUUCACAAGAGAGAUGUUUCAGCCCACAGCAGGCAGGGAGCAUUCUGCCCUGGCCAGAGCACCUGGCUUGAUGUAGCCAAGGAACCUAGAGUCUUGAGAAACAGGGGUCCUUCUCUGGCUCAGGGUUAAUUCCCUUCACGGUCUUAGGAAACAGCUUUGCCCUAUGCGCAUGUCUGAGUCUCCCUGAAUGUCCAGGGAGGGGCUUGGAUCGUCUGGUUCUCAGGUUCUUUUCAGUCUUGCACCCUCGCUCUGAAUGCUGACUCCUUAGAUGGGGCUCACUUUUCAAAGACAGGAAAUUGUUGCCAUGCUCAUUGGAGAGGAGGAUUUUCAGCAGUUCCGCAUUUUCCCUUAAGUCUGGCUUUCUACAAUGGUCCUCACUACCCAAGGGGUGUCUAGAGGAUUGUAGGAGAGAUGCCAUGCUGUCCAGACAUGGGCACCAAAGCUGCAAAUUAUCCACAGACGUCUAUACUGGCUAAGGAGCAGAGCCUUCUCUUCACUUGCUCUGGGCUGGGAUUCUGCCUGGGCAUCCCUGCACUUGAACGGUUCAUGCUGAUGGAGCCCCGAGUGCCAGCAUGAUUUCAGUCAUGGUAUCACACCACUACGCUGCUGAGGUGAAUUACUACCAUAAGAGGAGAUGCAGGGUGGCAGAGGGAAAAGGUCAGGUUCACACCCCGCUAUGACUUCUGACUCCUGGUGUGAGCAUGCCUCCGCCCCCCAGCUUCAUCGUCUUGCUGGUACUGACAUUUCGGCACCCUGUGAAUGAAGUCAGAAGCAGAGCACAUGCAUGGGGAUGACACACACAUGCAGGCCAGCGAGCAGUGUUUGGGUACAAGGCAAAGGGAGUGGACGGAAGAGGGAUCUGAAAGACCCAGGUGUCCUCAUAGGGAGAGGAGAUUGGCACGUGGACCCACAUGUUGAAAGCCAUGUGACUGUGAAGGUGGUAAUCUACAGGACCUGGAGUGGGGACUCAAGAAACCAAGUCUGCUGAACCUUGGACGCCUGGCCACCGGAACGGCCUUGUUCUUCUCAUCUGUAAGACAGUUAAAACCUUCCCUUCCUCCAUCUUCAGAGAUGGGAAACUUUUUCACUUUGUGCUGGACUCCUGGGGCGUAGAAGACUCAGUCCUGUCCAGUGAGGAAGAGAACCACAGAUGUAUCCACCAUCUGUGUCCACUCCAAACGAAAUAAUGACGCAGCUGCCACUCAGAACUUCUCAACCCAGACCUUGCGACCCUACUGAAUACCUUCAUUGUUUUUCUCUGCAUGCUCUCAGAUAAUAGCUCUCACUCCCAUUGUGUAGACGAGAAGACUGAGGCUUGAGUGAUCAGAUAUUGCUCUAAAAUCCACACAGCUGGCACAAUGACUCCUGAUUUAAAUCAGUCUGAAUGAAAGCCACUCACUGGCUCUGCUGUCUCUCAUUUGUGCAUCUGUUGCUACUGUGGCCAGGUUUGGGGUAUCCUGUACUUCAGGUCCAUCCCUGACUAAUUGUGCAGUUUCUAAGUCAGGGGAGAAAGAGCAGGGCUUUCUAUUAGCAAUCUGCCUGUGAGGAUCUUGGGGUCAGAAGUCCCAUGCCUGGGGUCUCAAGAUGCAUGCUCUCUGGAAGAUUCUGAGCCUCACCAUCAGCUUUUGGAAGUACACGCCUGUGAGUGAGGAGACCCCUGCCCAGCACCCUCAGAUUGCUCUUUCCUGCAGUUAGCUGGCAGUGGGCAAGGUCUGGCUGGGAGCCCAGACUUCCUGCAGCCCUGGCUAUUGCUGGAUGGCCAGUGUGUUCUUGCAAAGGUCUCUACCCUUUUGGGGUUGUUUGUUUUUGAGACACGGUCUCAUAAAUCCCAGGCUAGCCUUAAACUCAUUGUAUAGACAGUCAAGAAUGGCCUUGAACUUGUGAUCUUCCUGCCUCUAUUUCUGGAAUGCUGGGAGUAUAAGGUAUACCACCACACCUGACUUUAUGUGAUGCAGGGAUCAAACCAAGGGCUUUGCGCAUGCUAGGCAAACACUGUACCAACUGAGCUACAUCCUCAACAAGUCUUCUCUGUGAGAUGUCAGAUUCCAGAUUUGCAGACAUGAGGCUGGAGUAAGCUCUCCGAGCAACACAUAAUAUGAAGUAACUGUAGAUGACUCAAGCCCUGUCUUGGUUGGAUCUGGAAGGCCGAAUGUGGUUUUGAAUGGUUCCCCUCACCCCUCCCAAAGCCCCUCCUAGAUCUUGUGGCUGCUCAUAUGGCUCCACCCUGCAUCUCAGAUCAUUUGGGAGAGCAGACAGUGAUGCAAGAGGGAGGGAGUGAGAAGGGCUGAGGUCACUGUGGCCAACUGCCCAAUAGUGUGUGAUGGAGGGUGUCCUUGGCUCAUGCCCACACCUAGCCAGCCUCCGCCUUCCAUCCUGUAAAACAGUGAUAACAAUAGUACUUACUUUCAGAGGUACUUGAAUGGUGAGGAUAAUAUAGGGACCAACGGGAAGCAUGGUUGAAAGACACAUGGCACUGAGCCUGGGAUGUAGUGAGCAAGCACUCAGAGAGAAUGGCUUGGCAAUAAGAUGAUGGUGCUGGUGAUGGCGAGGAUAGGGAGAAGGAUGAUGUCAGCCAUGAUGCUGUCCAACUCCACCCUUGUGGUUCUUCCUGGGUGCCUCUACCCAAGACAUCCCACCCCAGUACAAACAUGUCCGGAGAAACCAAGUAGCCAGGGCAUGCCCUCUGAGUUGGGUAGAGGCCAGAUGCUGACCCUCAUGGACAGAUCAGUGCCCAAUGGCUGUGUUCUGGGCAUGGUGGCAGCAUCAGCUUUGAAAGAAUUAAUGGAAGUCUUCCCAGGGGAGGCAGUGCUUAGCUGCAGUAUUGAUGGAGGUGUAGGAAUUGGCUGAUAGAACAGAAUAGGAUUUCUCUUUUCCAUUUAAAGGCAUUCCUGGCCGAUGAAAUAACAUGAGCAAAGGCAGAGAGGUGUGAAAUAGCCUGUCGAGCUUGGGAAGCUGUGAGAGGCACAAUAUGGUUAGACAGUUGGGAGCCAGUGGCAGCAGGGAGAUGAGGGAGGAGUGGGGAUGUUUGGGGCAGAUCUCACCGAGCCUGGGGUGCUAAGUCAUGUACACCCUAGCUUUAAGGCCGAGCUGUUUGGUACAUUGUACGAUAGACAUUCCAAGCGUCUACCGAUCCCAAGCACUUUUGUGGAAGACACCGUGAGUGCAGCCCGGAUGCCUCAGAAUCCCCAGGCUGGGUCGUUCCUUCCUCAGUCGUUGAGAUUUCCAGUGGCAAAGUUUGAGGCUGACACGCCUCCCCAUUAUUGCCUCCCCAUCUAGUGUCCUGUCCCGUCCUGUGUCUGGUAACUGGUUCCUAUGGGGCCUGGGGGCCCAGGACUCUUUUCUCAAUUUGUGAUAAUUAUGAGAAGUAUUUCCAGAGGCUGGAGAUGGUUUAGUCUAGAAAGCCCUUGCUGUGCAAGCCUGAAGAACCUGGGCUUGGACCCCCAGCAACCUGUGCAAAAUCCAGGCCCAGAGGAAGUGAAGACAGGUGGGUUAGGACUCACUGGCCAGUCAGCUCAUCCAAAUGAAUGACCUCCACGUUUGGUGAAAGACCUGGUUUCCAGAAAUUAAGUAGAGGGUCAGUGCGAUGGUUCAGUGCUGAGGUGGUGCUUGCUGCCAAACCUGACAACCUGAGUUCAAAUCCCAGGCCCCAUAUGGUGAAAAGAGAGAAACGAAACCCACAAACUGUCCUCUGAUGUCCACAUGAGAGACAUGGUGAGAACUCAUGAGCAUGCGCGCGCGCGCACACACACACACACACACACACACACACACACACACACAAACUUAAGAGGGGAACAAGUGAAGAAGACACUUAGCACUGACCUCAGAUCUCCACAAACAACAUGUGUAUUGCACCAGCACACACUCAUGCACACACCCACAGGAACACAUAUAUCUUAACUCACACACAGCCCCAUACAUACACAACCUCUCCAGCUCCAGACCUCUGGGAGGAGCAGGCAAAGGCUUUGGAGGGAUUUACCUCAAAGUCCAGUUUGACCCUCUGCCCAGUCCCUCCCCAUAGAGGCUGAUCUUGAAAGAACUUCCCCGAAGAACAUUCUGCCAGCAAAUCUUCCUCUUGGCCUCCUUCCCCAGGAGCCCCACCCGAAACAGCCCUCAUGUAGGGAUGCCCAUGAUGGGUGACAUGUAAUAAAGGGGUGAUAAGGAACCCUGAUUUUGAGGGAACCUUCAAAAAGGCAUCUCUGUCCAGGGUGAGGGAAGGAACUGGAAGGACACAUCGGAGUCUGGCGGUCAGAGAGGGCACGGUUGCUGCAGUUUAGCAGAUGUGGGCAUGAGGUGGCGGGGCAGGCAGGAAGGGCACAUCUGAGGGGACCUAGAGAGCAGGGGAGAGACUGAGUGUGGGAAGGGUCUGGGAGCCAUGGAACAUCAGGGCAGAGGUGGAGUCCGUGCCUGGAAUGACAGGAAAGACUGAACAAGACAGACAGCUCAGUGAGCAUCAUGGCUACCAGACAUCUGGGUGGAGGGGCCCUGGAGGUGUUUAGGGGGGCUGUGACCUGGGGGUGCGGAGGUUGGGUAACAGCAACUGGUGGUUUGCAGAACAUUCAUUCACCCAUUGAGUUUGUCAGCAAUCAGAAAGACCCAGUGUCCUAGAGAGUCUUGCCGGGUGAAGGGACACUUGCACUGUGAGUGGCAGCUACUUACAAGUAGUCAGCUAGCAUCCCUGUAUGCCAGUGUACUACAUGCCCUGCAGCUCCCUCUGAAAUCCUCCCGAGAACCCGCUAGACAGACACCUCAGUCCUCGUCAUAAAGAGGAAGCCAGAGCUCAGGGAGGCUCCCGCUUUGGCAGGAACCAGGCGGCUCCCAAUGGUGGAGUUAAAUCCAGGCUCAUCUGACACAUGCCUGUAAUUGCUGGAGGGGAGAUCGGGACCCAGAAUUCUUGGCUCUUUAAUCAGAGUCCUUUCUCCUUGCUCAAGUGGCCACUUCCUGUGGUGAAUUCCAGAACUUCUGAUCAUGAGCCAACUUCUUCUUCUUCCAAGAAACAGAGCCGAGAAUGACCAGUUUCUGGGGCCUUGGGGUGGAGUGGGAUUAUCUUAGCAGGAAUUUCCAGGCCCGGGAAUCCCCCACUCCUGGUCUGGAGCCCUGGCACACAGGAGAAGGUCUCUGUAGCAGCGGCAGCAGGAGUCUGUCCAGUGGACAGCAUCGCCACAGUGUCAGGAAGGCGGGGCCCUCAAGCCUGCCUCAGCUUGGCCCCAUCACCCCCAGCCUGUGCCCUGUGGGGAAAUGGGCUCUCUUCAUUCAUCUUUUCCCAAAACGUUUCUGUAGAGCCUGGCUGUCUCAUUGAACCGUGAAUGUCUGCUGUCUCCCUUCUCCAUGAUUUUGUGUCCCAGGGCUUCAGUGACCUGCUGUCCACCACGAUCUAAAUACAUUAAAUGGAAGCAAGGUAUGGUGGAACACUCCUGCAACCCCAGCCCUGGGAAGGCAAGGGCAGGAGGUCUGUGAGUUCAAAGCCAGCCUGAACUGCACACUGAGACCUUGUCUCAAAAGACAAAACCAAUCAUUUUAAAUGGAAAAUUCCAGAAAUCACUUGGGAACUUUAAAUUACAUGCGGUUGUGAGCAGCGUUGUGCUCUUUCUGUGUCUCACCCAGAAAGUGAGCCAUCCUUCUGCACAUUAUACACCCCACAUGUACUACCUGCCCUUGCUCCUCCAGCAGACACUAUAGUUAGCUAUUAGACUCCCUAUGGAAAGAUCAAACACCCAGCGGGUGACAGAACGCGCAGGGUGUCCAUGUUUGCUCAUCUCAUCCUGGGGUCCAGGGAGGACAAGGACCUGCCCAAGGCCACCCAGUGCUUUGGUGUACAGCAUGUUCCAUCCUGAGUGUCCCAACCAGCAACUCAGUGCCUUUCCACGUCCCAGAUCAAUGUGAGUUGUGGCAUCAGGCCAGAGGAUUGAGGGAAUUUAGAAACUGACUUGAGUUCAAGGUCUGGCUCCACCCUGGACUUGCCAGGAGACUCUGCCAAGUCACCGGUCUCCCAGUCUCAAUUUCCUGGGCUUUGAAAUCAAAAUAAUGACUCCUUCCUUACAUAGUCCUUGUGAGAACGUAGAGAGAACAUCGUGUGGGAGACAUGCAGUGGGCCUGAGCUGCUCCAGCCAAUGACCAUCUUCAUUAAUGUUGACACAAUCAACACCAGCUGUGCGCUCUCAGACACACAGCUUACUUCAGCCCCAUCCAGAGCAACGCAAACUGCAGACGCACUGACGGCCCGGCACACUAGAGAUGCUCACUAAAGCUUGGUGUCUCUAACUCUGCAUGCAAUCAUUCUGCUUCCAUGGGUGGCUGCAGGGGACCUGCCUCAUUCCUCAUGACAACAACCCAGGAGACAAGAAGAGACGAAAUUGUGAUUGGAAGAGAGGAAAAGAGUACGGAGCUAGCUUCUAAAAUCAUCUUCUCAUGGAAGCUUGAAACAAAGCAGCAUGUGUUUUAAAAACCUGGUGUAGCUCAGACCUCUCUGGUCACAGCCAAGACUUUUACAGGCCCUAGGGAAGGAGCCAGAACCUGCAGAUGACCUCCCUCCUCUACUCACCCCGGCCAACACUGACCCUGGGCAAGGCUCAGGAAGAAAACCAGUCCUUUGUGGUCGUCCAGGCUAUAGCUGAACAAAUGCCAGAAAUGUUCUUUUGGUAGCUAGAUUUCAUCUGGAGCUAUGGUGGAACAGAAUAUUCUAGGUCUGGGAAGGUUCUAGUGUCUCCGAGUCCAGCCUCCAUUUCUCUCCAGUUUCAUGGGAGUCCAGAGUCGGAUGGUCUCCAGGGAUGGAGAUGUAGCCCCAGGCCUGAUGCCCCAUGUAGCACCUCCUCAUUCCCAUCAAGGGCCUCCCCUCUUCUGUCCAUCAACCAUACAGCCCAAUAGCAUCUGUGGUGGUUUGCAUGAGGAUGCUCCCAUAGCUUCAUGAGUUUGAAUACUUCAUCUCCAGUUGGUGGAACUGUUUGGAAAGGACUAGGAGGUGUGGCCUUGUUGGAGGAGGUGUGUCACUGGGGUGGGUUUUCAGGUUCCAGAAGCCCAUGCCCUUCCCAGUUAGCUCUCUCUGUGUGCCUUGCUGUUGACUCAUGGCGGGACCUCUCAGCUACUGUUCUAGCGCCAUGCCUGCCCACCUGCUGCUGUGCUCCCCACUAUGACGGUCAUGGACUCUGGGGUUCCAAAGCUGUAAGUGAGCCCCCAAUAAACUUCCC